rnacentral:rRNA from 1 species
UACGUAGGGUGCGAGCGUUAAUCGGAAUUACUGGGCGUAAAGUGUGCGCAGGCGGCACCGCAAGUCGAGUGUGAAAGCCCCGGGCUUAACUUGGGAAUUGCGCUCGAAACUAUGGUGCUGGAGUGUGGCAGAGGAAGGUGGAAUUCCAGGUGUAGCGGUGAAAUGCGUAGAGGUCUGGAGGAACACCGAUGGCGAAGGCAGCCUUCUGGGCCAACACUGACGCUCAUGCACGAAAGCGUGGGGAGCAAACAGG